rnacentral:lncRNA from 1 species
UGGAACCCAAAAAAACUAAAAACUUGGGAAAUAGUUAUAAUGUUCCCAAAAGUGGGCAUCAUUCUAAGGGAAAAUCUCCUGCUUUGUCUGUUCCACCUAAAAGAAGAAGUGCAAAGUCCUUAGAGAAUAAAGGAUCCACAACCCAUUUUGUAAGUUUACCUUAUUUAUUGUAAUGAAUUGGUUCGAGUUAUUUUAGUUAUGUUCCACAUUAAGCAAUUUAGUGAAUUUAAGUUU